rnacentral:sRNA from 1 species
ACAAGUCUCUCUCUUCUCUCUCUC